rnacentral:rRNA from 1 species
UACGUAGGGUGCGAGCGUUGUCCGGAAUUACUGGGCGUAAAGAGCUCGUAGGCGGUUUGUCGCGUCGGAUGUGAAAACCCAGGGCUCAACCCUGGGCCUGCAUUCGAUACGGGCAGACUAGAGUAUGGCAGGGGAGACUGGAAUUCCUGGUGUAGCGGUGAAAUGCGCAGAUAUCAGGAGGAACACCAGUGGCGAAGGCGGUGCUCUGGGCCGGUACUGACGCUGAGGAGCGAAAGCGUGGGUAGCAAACAGG